UCACAUGUGGCACAGGUAGCAUUUCCUCUUGGUGACUGAAGCAAUGGGAGCUGUUCAGGUCUUGGUUAUUUGCGCGCUGACUGUUUUUCUUGCUAAAGGCUCUUGUUUGCCAGUUGGUGGCCCAAAUGAAAGACAUGAUGGGCUGCAGAGGAGAGUAAGAGCCAGGGCCGCUGUGGAGCCGGCGACGACCACGCCGGGCGGGCCCACUGUGGCGACGACCACGCCGGGCGGGCCCACCGUGG